AACGAACGCUGGCGGCAGGCUUAACACAUGCAAGUCGAACGCUCGUAGCAAUACGGGAGUGGCAGACGGGUGAGUAACGCGUGGGAACAUACCCUCCGGUUCGGAAUAGCUCAGGGAAACUUGGAUUAAUACCGGAUACGGCUGAGAGGCGAAAGAUUUAUCGCCGGAGGAUUGGCCCGCGUUCGAUUAGCUUGUUGGUGAGGUAACGGCUCACCAAGGCGAUGAUCGAUAGCUGGUCUGAGAGGAUGAUCAGCCACAUUGGGACUGAGACACGGCCCAAACUCCUACGGGAGGCAGCAGUGGGGAAUAUUGGACAAUGGGCGCAAGCCUGAUCCAGCCAUGCCGCGUGAGUGAUGACGGCCUUAGGGUUGUAAAGCUCUUUCGCUCGGGACGAUAAUGACGGUACCGAGAUAAGAAGCCCCGGCUAACUUCGUGCCAGCAGCCGCGGUAAUACGAAGGGGGCUAGCGUUGUUCGGAAUCACUGGGCGUAAAGCGCGUGUAGGCGGGUCUUUAAGUCAGGGGUGAAAUGCCAAGGCUCAACCUUGGAACUGCCUUUGAUACUGGAGAUCUUGAGUCCGGGAGAGGUGAGUGGAAUUGCGAGUGUAGAGGUGAAAUUCGUAGAUAUUCGCAAGAACACCAGUGGCGAAGGCGGCUCACUGGCCCGGAACUGACGCUGAGACGCGAAAGCGUGGGGAGCAAACAGGAUUAGAUACCCUGGUAGUCCACGCUGUAAACGAUGGAUGCUAGCCGUUGGGGAGCUUGCUCUUCAGUGGCGCAGCUAACGCUUUAAGCAUCCCGCCUGGGGAGUACGGUCGCAAGAUUA
rnacentral:rRNA from 1 species